rnacentral:rRNA from 1 species
UUGGAGGGCAAGUCUGGUGCCAGCAGCCGCGGUAAUUCCAGCUCCAAUAGCGUAUAUUAAAGUUGUUGCAGUUAAAAAGCUCGUAGUUGAAUUUCGGGAUCAGUACGCUGGUCGUGCCUUGGUAUGCACUGGUGUCACUGGUUCCUCCCUUCUGACGAACCGUCAUGCCAUUCACUUGGUGUGGCGGGAAAUCAGGACUGUUACUUUGUGAAAUUUAGAGUGUUUAAAGCAGGC